rnacentral:rRNA from 1 species
GACAGAGGGUGCAAACGUUGUUCGGAAUUACUGGGCGUAAAGGGCGCGUAGGCGGCCUCUUAAGUCGAACGUGAAAUCCCCGGGCUCAACCCGGGAACUGCGUCCGAUACUGGGAGGCUUGAAUCCGGGAGAGGGAUGUGGAAUUCCAGGUGUAGCGGUGAAAUGCGUAGAUAUCUGGAGGAACACCGGUGGCGAAGGCGGCAUCCUGGACCGGUAUUGACGCUGAGGCGCGAAAGCGUGGGGAGCGAUCCGG